AUCAAAAACAUGUCUUUUAGUUGAGAAUUAAAGGUCCAAUCUGCUCAGUGAUUAUUAAAUAGCUGCAGAAUUUUAACUGUACUAAGGUAGCCUAAUAAAUUGUUUAUUAAUUGUAAACUGGAAUGAAUGAUUAGAUAAGACAUGAGCUGUAUCGGGGGAUUUUUAUUUAAUUUAACUUUUGGGUUAAAAGGCCCAAAUAGUUUUAGGGGACGAGAAGACCCUAUAGAUUUUUAUAUUUUUAUUAAAUUUAAAUUUAUAGAUUGGGAUUUAAUGAAAAUAAUUUGAUGGGGACUCAGAGAAAUUAAAUAAUUUUCUUUAGUUUUUUACAAUAAUUGUUGAUUGGGGGAUUAAUAGAUAAUUAAUAAAGAUAAAAAUACCUUAGGGAUAACAGCAUAAUAACUUUUUUAAGAUCAUAUUUUUAAAGUUGAUUGUGACCUCGAUGUUGS
rnacentral:rRNA from 1 species